GCAGGCCUAACACAUGCAAGUCGAGCGGUAGCACAGAGAGCUUGCUCUCGGGUGACGAGCGGCGGACGGGUGAGUAAUGUCUGGGAAACUGCCUGAUGGAGGGGGAUAACUACUGGAAACGGUAGCUAAUACCGCAUAACGUCGCAAGACCAAAGUGGGGGACCUUCGGGCCUCAUGCCAUCAGAUGUGCCCAGAUGGGAUUAGCUAGUAGGUGGGGUAACGGCUCACCUAGGCGACGAUCCCUAGCUGGUCUGAGAGGAUGACCAGCCACACUGGAACUGAGACACGGUCCAGACUCCUACGGGAGGCAGCAGUGGGGAAUAUUGCACAAUGGGCGCAAGCCUGAUGCAGCCAUGCCGCGUGUGUGAAGAAGGCCUUCGGGUUGUAAAGCACUUUCAGCGGGGAGGAAGGCGGUAAGGUUAAUAACCUCGUCGAUUGACGUUACCCGCAGAAGAAGCACCGGCUAACUCCGUGCCAGCAGCCGCGG
rnacentral:rRNA from 1 species